GCCCAAGAGACUGGGAUAACACCUGGAAACAGAUGCUAAUACCGGAUAACAACACUAGACGCAUGUCUAGAGUUUAAAAGAUGGUUCUGCUAUCACUCUUGGAUGGACCUGCGGUGCAUUAGCUAGUUGGUAAGGUAACGGCUUACCAAGGCAAUGAUGCAUAGCCGAGUUGAGAGACUGAUCGGCCACAUUGGGACUGAGACACGGCCCAAACUCCUACGGGAGGCAGCAG
rnacentral:rRNA from 1 species